GAGAUAGAAUCUUGUUCUGUCACCCAGGCUGGGGUGCAAUGGCACGAUCUUGGCUCACUGCACCCUCCACCUCCUGAGUUCAAGCGAUUCUCCUGCCUCAGCUUCCCGAGGAGCUAGGAUUACAGGCACGUACCACCACGCCCAGCUAAUUUUUGUGGUUUUUUCUAGUAGAGAUUGGGUUUCACCAUGUUGGCCAGGCUGGUCUGGAACUCCUGACCUCAGGUGAUCCGCCCACCUCAGUCUCCCAAAGUGCUAGGAUUACAGGCGUGAGCCACUGCACCCGGCCCAAUACUAUUUUAUUAAAGCUUUUCUAUUUUCUUAUUUUCUAAAAAUAAGUUUAUUUUUAUUUAUUGGUUAUCUAGUAUCACUGAUUUCUAAGUACUAACUUUCCCCAUCUUUGUGUGAGUUCUUUGCACCUGAUUCACAUAAAUCCUUGAAUGGUACCUACUCUAUAAAUAGACAAACGCUUCCCGUGCAUUCUCAGCCUGCAUUCAUAAUCCCUCCCUAACCAGCCACUGCGGUGGCUUUGUACUGUGUCAAUGUACCUAAGCUGAACUAUGUUUCUCAGAAAAUCUGAGCAAAAUUUGGAAGGCAGAAGUGAAACAGCAGUCAUAUUUACAGUCAAAGUCUGUGUAGGGCCAGGCGCUGUGGUGGCUCACACACAAUGCCAGGCAGCCACUGGCUCAAUGUAUUGGUACAGGGCAGCAGCUGUGCCUGCAGUUCCUCCAGCUCCCACCAGAACUGCUUCUUCAGCUUCACUGAAUCUUGGGUUUAUGAGCAAUUCCAUGGUGAAGGGCACCAGCUCCUCUGCAGGUCAUCUUCAUCAUCAGCGCUGGAGUGUUGGAGGCCUGAGAGGCUGACGUGGAAGACAUCAGUUUCAGUCCAUCCACAGGAGUUCCAUCUCCUCCCUGCAGGUGCAGCUCACGCCUACUCUCUCCCACUGCACAUCCAUUUGCCAGCCCUGCUGACUUCAGGCCCACUUCUGGACACAGGGGCAGCAGGUUGCAGCUUUCAUAACAAUGUGUAUCCUAAUCUCUUUAAUAAAUUCCUUGUUUUGCUCAAGGUGGUUUUGCUUCUCUGAUCAAACUUUAAUGAUACAGAUUUUGGAAACAUCAUAGGUGCUGCUGCAGUUAAAAACCUAAAAUGUGUGGCACUGGCUUUGGGGCCAGGCAGCGAAUAGAAGGUAGAGGGGCCUUGAGAAGUCUGUCAGUGAGGCCUUCAAUAAAUAUGAUGAAAAUAUUGUUGAAACCUGGAAGAAGGAAGACAGGUUUGUGUAGCGGUGGGAAGUUUAGCAACAUUGAAACCCAAGAUAACUUGGAAAAUAGAAAAUGUAUCAAUGAGCUGUAUGACUGAGUGGAGGGAAUUGACAGGCACACGGGCCACCUAACUUCUAGCUGCCACAAUAAAAUAAGAGAGAAUGGGCCAGGCGCGGUGGCUCACACUUGUAAUCCCAGCACUUUGGGAGGCCGAGGCGAGCAAAUCACGAGGUCAGGAGUUCAAGACCAACCUGGCCAACAUGGAGAAACCCCGUUUCUACUAAAAAUACAAAAAUUAUCAGGGCCUAGUGGCGGACGCCUGUAAUCCCAGCUACGUGGGAGGCUGAGGCAGGAGAACUGCUUGAAUCCGGGAGUCAGAGGUUGAAGUGAGCCGAGAUUGUACCGCUGCACUCCAGCCUGGGCAACAGAGUAAGACUCCAUCUCGAAAAAAAAAAAAGAAAUGAAAAUAAAAAAUAAAAAUAAAUAGGCUGGGCGCGGUGGCUCACGCCUGUAAUCCCAGCUACUUGGGAGGCUGAGGCAGGAGAACUGCUUGAAUCCAGGAGUCAGAGGUUGAAGUGAGCUGAGAUCGUACCAAUGCACUGCAGCCUGGGCGACAGAGUAAGACUCCGUCUCGAAAAAAAAUAAAAAGAAAUGAAAAUAAAAAUAAAAAUGAGUAGGCCGGGCGCGGUGGCUCACGCCUGUAAUGCCAGCACUUUGGGAGGCCGAGGCGGGCAGAUCAGGAGGUCAGGAGAUCGAGACCAUCCUGACUAACAUGUUGAAACCCCAUCUCUACUAAAAAUACAAAAAAAAUUAGCCUUCUGUGGUGGCGGGCACCUGUAAUCCCAGCUACUCAGGAGACUGAGGCAGGAGAAUGGCGUGAACCCGGGAGGUGGAGCUCGCAGUGAGCCGAGAUCGCGCCGCUGCACUCCAGCCUGGGCAACAGAGAGAGACUCCAUCUCAAAAAAGUAAAUAAAUAAAAUUAAAAAUAAAUAAAAAAUAAGAGAGAAUGGAUAUGAGCUAAGGAACCCAUGGCAAAAUAUAAAGGUGGCAGGACUUGCAGGAUUUGAAAAAAGGAAAAAAAAAAAAAUGGUUUGCCAUUCCCAGCCUCUCCAAAUGGCAAACAUCUCAAAAAUUAAGAAAUGGCUUGUGGAUCUGGUUCUAGUUAAAAUGGAGUGAGCCGAUGCCAUGGUAGCUCCCCAACAGGUUACUUCUAAGAACCCCAGAGUGGAUACAUAAAGCAACUUAAUAGGGACUCUGCAAGGAAAAAACAGCAGGUGGGUUGGAGAGGGAGAGCCGAACUCCAAGAAAGAUGAAUAAGGUGGUAAGUUUCCUCUUCUUCCCCUUCCAUGUCUCUUGACAUAGAUUCAGGGCAGCCAAACCCAGAACUGCUUAAGUGGCAGGGACAGGAAACAUUUCAAGAGAAAUUCUCUCUUUCCAAUCAAUGGAAUAGGAACAGGCAUCCCUGCAUGGCAGAGCAAGUGAGGGAAACCUGGCUUUAUUCCAUCCUGACCUGUCCCGAUGCCAUAAAAGAGUAAGACUUAGGGGUCUUUGGUGGGAGAUGAGUGUAUUUUGCAUGUGGGAAGGGUGUGAGUUAUUUGCCAGAGGACAGGCUGGUGGACUAACGUGAUCCAAAGAUGGUGUGAGAGCACCCCUCGGCCCACAUGCUGUUUUCAUAAUGUGAUCUUGUCACCUCCCAUCAAGAGGUGAAGUCUAUGUCCCUUCCCCUUGAACCUGGGUGGGCUUUUGUGCCUGCUUUAACCAAUAGAGGAUGGGAAAAGUGACACUCUGUGACUCUAAGACUAGAUUAUAAAAGGCAAUGCCAUAUCCUACUGGCUUUUUCUUGGGAUACUCACUCUUGGAAACCAGUGGCCGUGGUGUCAGGAAGCCCACACCACACGUUGAAGCCCCAGCUGAAGUCCUGUUAGUCCCAGUAAUCCUCAGACUGUAGGAGAUAAUAAGAAUGAAUGAAUUUUUUUAUUUUAUGCCACUAAAGUUGUGAUUGUUUGUUAUAAAGGAAUAGCUAUAUAACUCUCCCCAAAGACCUGAACUGUAAAGCAGGAAGCCAAUUUAUUACUUUAUAAGAAAGAUUAGGUCUUUCCAAAGACUACUUACUCCAUCCUCGGCAGCCCCUUCCAGGUAUCCAGGUCCCUUCAAGGCUACUGGAUGAAUAAGAAAACAGAGCACAGAGACCCACAGGCCUGGUGACACCUACUGAAGCUCCUGCCCCAAGCUGUGUCCACCAGUGACUGCCAUUUCCUUUUCCCACCCUACCCCCAAUGCUGGCUGUCUCAUUUGUUCUGGAGAGGGUUUAUGUCCACCCAUCUCCUGCUAUUCAUAGUCAUUCUUUCCUAGAUAAAGCAAGCACAACAGAUUCAUGUUCUUCCAGGUCAGUACACUUAUUAUGUUCAGUCUCACAGACGUUCCUGUAGAUGUCCCGAUACAACACACUGAUUCAUCAGGAGCAUCACUCCUUAGUCAGUAGUUUACUGUUUAUUCAUUAGUCUGACUUCACUCAUUACCUUUUUAUUCUUCUUCAUUGCAGUCUGAGAGGUUAACUUAUCUCUGAGUUGGGAUUGUCUUAGUGUCACCCCAUGAACUGAUAUACAUGGUCAGUCCCACCUAUCAGCCAAAAGCAAUGCCUAGUGACUUGUUUGGGUGCCGAACAAAGGGUGUUCAUGUAUCAUAUCUUGAGAAAACAUGAAGCUUCGCACAUGUACUUGUCCACCUAAUAUUUUCAUUCUGAGGCACAUGGGGCUGAUUGGCUGCACUGAGCCACACGUUAGCAUAACCCCUCUGGUUACUCUCAGUCCCUUGUUAUAGGACCAACAGGUUCAUGUGUUCACUAUGCAGUAACAGAACCAUAACACAGAGACAGCAGGGUUUGCAGCAGAGAAAGUUUAAGAAUCUCAGGGUGCCGAGCAAGGAGACAGGAGGAGACCCUCAAAUCCACCUCCCCAAGGAGUUCUUGGCUGGGGCUUUUAAGGGGAUCAUGAAGGGGAAGGGGCUGGAUAACUGGGGUCCUUGAUUGCUCAUAGGGGGAUGAAAUCAUCAGGAUGUGAAAACUGCAUUCUUUGGUGAGCCAGCCUCUUUUGUGGUCCUUUGGACCAGCUGAGUCAGUAGUUUCAUCAAUAUGCGGGAACUGAAGGAGUAGCUCAAAGGGAAAACUUAAUGUUUCAUAAUUCUCAAGUUGUUUUCUAUAGAGCAGUUAAGGGGAAGUAUAAUCUCAUAACAGGGUCUACAUGAUCCUAGGACAACAAUAGUUGUUCCUCAAACAACUCUGAGGAAGCAGGUCUGAGCUGGCUGACCUCAAGGUCAAUGCUGAAGGUGAUGCAAGCUGGGUUUAUUUUCAUGUCUCCCCCUUUCAUAUUUUCUGAUUAAUUUUAUCAAGUUUAUAGAGUCAGGCCGGGCACGGUGGCUCACGCUUGUAAUCCCAGCACUUUGGGAGGCUGAGGCGGGCGGAACACGAGGUCAAGAGAUCGAGACCAUCCUGGCUAACAUGGUGAAACCCCGUCUCUACUAAAAAUACAAAAAAUUAGCCGGGCGUGGUGGCAGGUGCCUGUAGUACCAGCUACUCGGGAGGCUGAGGCAGGAGAAUCGCUUGAACCCCGGAGGCAGAGGUUGCAGUGAGCCAAGAUCGCGCCACUGCACUCCAGCCUGGGUGACAGAGCGUGACUCCAUCUCAAAAUACAUAAACAAAAUAAAAUAAAAAUAAAGUUUAUAGCAUCAGUUUCACCCUUUUAUUUCAAUUUUCUGUUCCUUUUACUACUUUUUAAAUCUUUCUACUCCCUUUCCCCUCAAGCUUAUACCAUGGCACUCUCACACAAGUAUGAGCUGUGCUGACAAACUGCUUCAAUUCUUUUCGGGAAGCAGCAAUGGUUAAAUCCUUACUUUUGCUGCAGAGCUUACUGUCAGUUCUCAGACGUGUGACCUCUUGGAGCCUCAGUCUCCUCAUCUGCAAAAUGGCGACAGCAGCUAUUGUCACCUGUUUUCUUCCCAAAAUGACCAUAAGGUUCAAAUAAGAUCAUGUGGGUGAGAACACUGUGAAAGGCUUGGCAAGCCACACACAUGUCAGGAAAACAUGCGGAUAAUUUCCUACAAAAAUAAUUAGGCAUUCGCUUUCAUUCAUUUGAAUGCAGCCUUUGUUUCUUUCUUGCAUCUAAUUAAAUCAAGAGAAAUGUCAGGUGUAGAAUUCUUAGGGAUCAGGGUUUUGUUUUUGCUGGGCAAGAAACAUAUGCCCUCAAGUGCCUUGGGCACAUAGUUACUUUGGUUUUCCUGUGCUCUACAAUUAAAGCCUUAUCUGGAAUUGUUAUGGCUUUGUAUCGUUUCAGCUAUUUUGAUGCUAAUGAAGAAAAGUUCAGCAAGGAUGAAAUUCUAAAUAUCUAGUACUUUAUUUCAUAAGCAUCUUCAUUAAUAGUUAUGGCUCAUCACAUGACCGGCCUUCUCAAAAGCAAGAGGAUGUGGAUGUCAUGGAAGCCCCUGGAGAAGGAAAUUUGGAAACCCAAAUAAGUAAAUUUAAUUAGCGAUCUCACAUGAAAUGAUUGUGAGAUGCAGGCAAAUUUUCCCCUUCCUCCCAGCAGGAGGGAUUUGUCCUGGUGUGUAACAUUUCAAAGGCCCUAGCUCAUGAGAGCCACUUUUCUCCAAAGCAAGGAUGCUUUUGCAGCUGCUGUAAGGUGUAGGGAUUUCAUUUUAAAUACAAAAUGUGUUCCAUCUUCUGUAAGAACCUGCAGCUGUUUGGCCACUCUGUGCAAGAGGUUGAAUGUUGUGCAUUGUCCCUGGAGCUGCUUUAGACCAAAAGCAAAAUAUUUUCUGCUUCCAAGAAUUGGUGAAGGGCCACCUAUCAGAGGAAUUUAAAAUAUUUCUCCAAUUAAGCUCCCUACCUACAGAGUCCACUUUGAAUAUGAGAAGAAAGGGGCAGCAAGUUAGCAGAGCUGCUCUUUGAAAAAGCUGUUCUUGAGAAGACAAAGCUCUCCUCAGAGCAGCCUUCGGUCCUCUUUCUGAACAAGAAAACACCUGCAUUCAGGAGGACUGCAAAGCCCUCAUUCCCUCUAGGCAAAAGGAGAGAGAAAAGUUUGGAUUUUUCAGUGUUGUUAUCCAAUGUUGAACAUCUAGAAGUGAAUGCCCAACUCACAAGUAGUGUACGCGGUCAGUAGGCAAUACAUGUUAUUGAAGGAAUGAGUUAACGAAUACCACAAAAUGAUAACACUUUAGCUUUAAAGGAGAUUUUCUUUACAAAACUCCAUCAGCCUGAGUUCAAGCUGUUCUUUAUGAUUCUAAAACCACACAGCUGCAAAGUUGUAGCACAACUCACACCUGUAGAUGGAUGGAGGGAGAAGGGGUAGGCUCACCUGGAAGUCCACCUGGCAGGUUAGCUGCACCAAACCUGGCACUUACUGGGAUGAGACUUGGCAUUUAAUGGGAUGAGAGGUCCUCGCAGGCUUUCCUUAGAUCCCGUGACCUCUUCUAUUCAUGCACUUCAGGAACAGCUAUUGGCCAAACGCUGGUUUAUUGCCCAGCUAUCACUUUUUCUUCCUUUCAAAUUAUUUGGAGUUGACCACACCAAGUUAGCCACAUCCCAAAUACUUGCACCAAUUAUCUGUAACACCAAAUGUCAAAUCAUGGUAUUUAGUUGUGUUCCAGAGGAAUAUUUGAGUCGUGAUUCUAGAUUCUAUGGAAAUCUAUAGAAAAGUAGUCGUGUCAUGAUUGCCAUUGUCUUCUGUUACAUAUUCAACCUCUUCUGUCUUGCUUUUGUUUCUGUCAGAGAUGGCAUAGAAGCGAAAUGUCAAGGUCUUGCUUUAUGCCAUUUGGCUGUCAUAUAUAGCCAUUUAAUUUUUCCCUUCCCAGAUGGGACUCAGGUGGCAAGGUGACAACUUUCAGCAAAAUACUUUCCACAGAACCAAGAGGUCCUUGACGGGGUGACCUUUGGGGUCUAGGACACAAGGUUAUACAAGAGGGUUUGGUGCACAGAGCUGCUGCAUCUGAUUCCCUUCCUCUCUUUGUCCCAAACCUGAGGUUCUGUGGUUUGUCAUAGUGGAAUUUCUACAGGUAACACGCUGUAUGCCUGACAAAGCCAACUGUCACGUAAGUGUUCGAUGGCAUCUCUUUUUGGUGUGUGGAGCAGCUUAGAGACAAGGUGGUACGGAUGAAACCCAACCACAUUGCUUAUGCCUCUUUUUUUAGCUUCUUUUUAUUAUGAACUCUUUCCUCCUAACACAUUUAAGGGGGUGGUGCAAGCGUGUACAUGUGAACUUUUGCUUGUUUGAAUUGAGAAAAUGACGAAGCAUCAGGAAUGUCCUAGUUUUGAAUAUGCAAUAUCAGCAGAUCCUUCUGUGCAACUCUCCCAAAAAAGGGUGAGAUUCUGUGUAUGCAUAUGCCUACACCAUCCUGGCAGCUCCUCCCCCAGGUCCCCCCUGUGAGCUCAGCCUAAUGACUAGUCCUCAAAGAUUGUCCCUGAGUGGAACUGAGAUGUUAAGGUACAUUUUCUAAAUGUGGAAUUUCCUAUUCAGGACUUCCCAACUCAUUCCUGUACCACCCCACUAGAAGGAGGAUGGACAGAUUCGCUUGCUGAAAUGGCGAAGCAAGUUCCCGCAGCUGGCCAGGCUGAGCUGUUUCUGAAGCUCAGAGCAGCUGUGACUCAUCCCUCCUGCAGUCCGUUAACUUCCCACUCCUGUCACCAGACCAGCUACUCCUCUCGCUCUGACUCCUACAAACCCACUUAUUUUCAAAUUUGCUCAAUAACCAUGACAUUCAAACCCAACAUGCUCUGUGCACAGGACGCUGUGAAAACACACAGUGAGAAUUAAGGGUCCACAGAAGAAAUAAUGGCCAGAGUAAGAACUGUUUUCUUGGAUGCUGGGUGAUGAGGAAUAACUGCUAAUAAGAGACAACAGCAAGUAUUAGGACAUGUGCCAUCAGGCCCAAUUGAGUUAAGGGAAUGCAGUCAUCCUAACUGGUGGUUUUCAGAAAGCCACACAACAUUUUAAUUGAAUGCACAGGCUUCUGCAUGAUUAGGAACACAAUACUUUGGUGCCCAGGCCGGAUUGAGCUGGUAACAAUGAGCUGAAAUGGCUUCCUGCCAUGAAGCAGAGAAGCUCAAGCUUAUUCUCCCUGUGACACUUCCAGGCCCUGUUGCAAAGUCACAAAAGAAACUCAAGAAACCAAUUUUCAGAGACGGUUUAGAGCUUUCCUGCAUGGUUCCAACUACUCGUGUGAUAUAAAAAUGGAAUGACUGCAGAAGGAGGAUUGCAGCUGGAUUUCGGGGAAACUUUCUGAAGAAUGGACAAGAGGAACCAGCAGCCUGGUGCAAAGUCACUGAAUCAAGUAGCAAGUAGCACCAACUCCUCCCAUCCUCCCAUCAGACAGCAUGAAUUUAAAGUGGUCUCCAGUCAUGCAGCCAUUUCACAGAGUUUGCAUCUUAAGCCCACCUAAGAUAUUGUCAAUAAGAUAUUGUCUUGAAUUCCCAGCCAGAGUCCAGGGAAUCCAGAAGUUUCCAAAACUUUGAAAAUAGGAAAUAUUCAACAGAGUUAUUCAGCAAAUAUUUGUUCAGCGCCUACCACAUUCCAGUCACUAAUAAUUGGCAUGGAUAUCAGCCCAAUAAAAUUAACCAUUGGACUAUCAUUGGGAACCCCCGAGAGACAUAUUCAACACGAGCCUGAAUUAAAAAUACAACUAAAUUUCUAUAUUGUGAUUUUUAAAAUGUGUUUGCUUUAAAAGUUCAAUCAAAAUGGGCCUUUCACUUUAAACUCAGCUCUGGACAUCUCUAUGCAACUCUCUGUGGAAGGUUCACCGAGAUGU
rnacentral:lncRNA from 1 species